UUUCAAUUAGUAUCACAGCUGUGUCAUUAUUAACUUGAACUGUAGUUGUCAACUUGAGACUUCCAUAGAGCAAUGUAGUUAAAUCUGUUGAAAGCAGAAACAAAAUACAAAACUUAAUACUUUUCUUCUUCAGAACUUUAUCAAAUGAUGAGCUGUAUAGUAAUUGUUUGCAUAUGCAGUCAUACUCAGAAGGGGUGGAUUUGGGUCAGCAGUGGAUGGGCCUCUUGGUGUAGAUUGCUCUGAUGUGGUUUGAUCAAAUGAAGUUCCGCUGGUGGUGGGGUUGGUUGAUGUACUAUGAUGUGGUGUACUUGUACUUGUAGGAGGAAAAAUAUCAAAGAAACCUGAGGUUAUAGUUUUUGUUGUGGUUGUCUCAGGUGUGGUUGACAUAGUUGUCUCAGGUGUACUUGUAGGAGGGCUGGUUGGUUUCAUAGCUGUUGGGACAUGAGUGAUCAUUUCAGGAAAAAUCUCUGAGGUUAUAGUUUUUGAUGUGGUUGUCUCAGGUGUGGUUGACAUAGUUGUCUCAGGUGUACUUGUAGGAGGGCUGGUUGGUUUCAUAGCUGUUGGGACAUGAGUGAUCAUUUCAGGAAAAAUCUCUGAGGUUAUAGUUUUUGAUGUGGUUGUCUCAGGUGUGGUUGACAUAGUUGUCUCAGGUGUACUUGUAGGAGGGCUGAUUGGUUUCAUAGCUGUACUUGAGGUUGGGUCAUGAGUUGAUGUACUUGUUUCAAGGAUACUUGAGGUUGUAGCAUGUUCAGUUGUGCUUGUUGGAAGAUAGGUUGAUGUGGUUCUUUCAUUUGUAAUCCCAGUUGUUGGAGAAUGUGUUGGUGUAACUGUUAUAGGCAUGCUGGUGGCAGUGCUGGUUGAUGCAGCUGAUGACAUAGUUGUCUCAGGUGUACUUGUAGGAGGGCUUGUUGGUUUCAUAGCUGUACUUGAGGUUGGGUCAUAAGUUGAUGUACUUGUUUCAAGGAUACUUGAGGUUGUAGCAUGUUCAGUUGUGCUUGUUGGAAGAUAGGUUGAUGUGGUUCUUUCAUUUGUAAUCCCAGUUGUUGGAGAAUGUGUUGGUGUAACUGUUUUAGGCAUGCUGGUGUAGAUUGGUGUAGAUUGCUCUGAUGUGGUUUGAUCAAAUGAAGUUACGCUGGUGGUGGGGUUGGUUGAUGUACUAUGACGUGGUGUACUUGUAGGAGGGCUGGUUGGUUUCAUAGCUGUACUCAAGGUUGGGUCAUAAGUUGAUGUACUUGUUUCAAGGAUACUUGAGGUUGUAGCAUGUUCAGUUGUGCUUGUUGGAAGAUAGGUUGAUGUGGUUCUUUCAUUUGUAAUCCCAGUUGUUGGAGAAUGUGUUGGUGUAACUGUUUUAGGCAUGCUGGUGUAGAUUGGUGUAGAUUGCUCUGAUGUGGUUUGAUCAAAUGAAGUUACGCUGGUGGUGGGGUUGGUUGAUGUACUAUGAUGUGGUGUACUUGAACUUGUAGGAGGGCUGGUUGGUGUCAUAGCUGUACUCAAGGUUGGGUCAUGAGUUGAUGCACUUGUUUCAAGGAUACUUGAGGGUGUAGCAUGUUCAGUUGUGCUUGUUGGAAGAUAGGUUGAUGUGGUUCUUUCAUUUGUAAUCCCAGUUGUUGGAGAAUUUGUUGGUGUAACUGUUUUAGGCAUGCUGGUGGCAGUGCUGGUUGAUGCAGCUGAUGCUGGAAGGGUGACUGGUGUAGUCGUUUUUGAUGUGGCUGUUGAACGUGUGGUUGAAGUAGUUAACUCAGGUGUACUUGCAGUUGUUGGAGACUCAACAAGUUCACCUGAAUCAACCUCCCCUGAACCAACCUCCCCUUCAACAAUAGCAAAGAUAUUUGAAGUCGUAGAAGUUAUAGAGGUUGUAGAAGUUAUAGAGGUUGACUGUGCGAAUG
ensembl:lncRNA